UACGUAGGGUGCAAGCGUUGUCCGGAAUUAUUGGGCGUAAAGAGCUCGUAGGCGGCUUGGCAAGUCGGGUGUGAAACCUCCAGCUCAACCUGGAGACGCCACUCGAUACUGCCAUGGGCUAGAGUCCCGGUAGGGGACCACGGGAAUUCCUGGGUGUGCGGUGAAAUGCGCAGAUAUCAGGAGGAACACCGGUGGCGAAGGCGGUGGUCUGGGCCGGCACUGACGCUGAGGAGCGAAAGCGUGGGUAGCGAA
rnacentral:rRNA from 1 species